ensembl:misc_RNA Metazoa_SRP Metazoan signal recognition particle RNA
GCCAGGCAUGGUGGCUCACGCCUGUAAUCCCAGCACUUUGGGAGGCUGAGGUGGGUGGAUCACCUGAGGUCAGGAGUUCUAGUCUGGCCUGACCAACAUGGUGAAACCCUGUCUCUA